rnacentral:rRNA from 1 species
CCGCGGUAAUACGAAGGGGGCUAGCGUUGUUCGGAAUUACUGGGCGUAAAGCGCACGUAGGCGGAUUUGUAAGUUGGGGGUGAAAUCCCGGGGCUCAACCCCGGAAUUGCCUUCAAGACUGCAAGUCUGGAGGUCAGGAGAGGCGAGCGGAAUUCCGAGUGUAGAGGUGAAAUUCGUAGAUAUUCGGAGGAACACCAGUGGCGAAGGCGGCUCGCUGGACUGAUACUGACGCUGAGGUGCGAAAGCGUGG